rnacentral:rRNA from 1 species
ACUCAAAUGAAUAGACGGGGACCCGCACAAGCAGUGGAGUAUGUGGUUUAAUUCGAUGCAACGCGAAGAACCUUACCUGGGCUUGACAUGCACCUGACAGCUGCAGAGAUGCAGUCUUCUCGCAAGAGACAGGUGCACAGGUGCUGCAUGGCUGUCGUCAGCUCGUGCCGUGAGGUGUUGGGUUAAGUCCCGCAACGAGCGCAACCCUUGUCUUUAGUUGCCAACACGUAAUGGUGGGCACUCUAACGAGACUGCCUAGGUUAACUAGGAGGAAGGUGAGGAUGACGUCAAGUCCGCAUGGCCUUUAUGCCCAGGGCUACACACGUACUACAAUGGUCGGUACAGAAGGCAGCGAAACAGUGAUGUGGAGCAAAUCCUCAAAGCCGGCCCCAGUUCAGAUUGGAGUCUGCAACUCGACUCCAUGAAGAUGGAAUUGCUAGUAAUGGCGGGUCAGCAACACCGCCGUGAAUACGUUCCCGGGUCUUGCACACACCGCCCGU